rnacentral:rRNA from 1 species
GAUGAACGCUGGCGGCGUGCCUAAUACAUGCAAGUCGAGCGAACAGAUGAGGAUCUUGCUCCUCUGACGUUAUCGGCGGACGGGUGAGUAACACGUGGAUAACCUACCUAUUAGACUGGGAUAACUUCGGGAAACCGGAGCUAAUACCGGAUAAUAUAUUGAACCGCAUGGUUCAGUAGUGAAAGACGGUUUUGCUGUCACUUAUAGAUGGUUCCGCGCCGCAUUAGCUAGUUGGUAGGGUAACGGCUUACGAAGGCAACGAUGAGUAGCCGACCUGAGAGGGUGAGCGGCCACACUGGAACUGAGACACGGUCCAGGCUCAUACGGGAGGCAGCAGUAGGGAAUCUUCCGCAAUGGGCGAAAGCCUGACGGAGCAACGCCGCGUGAGUGAUGAAGGUCUUCGGAUCGUAAAACUCUGUUAUUAGGGAAGAACAAAUGUGUAAGUAACUAUGCACGUCUUGACGGUACCUAAUCAGAAAGCCACGGCUAACUACGUG